CCCAGAGAUAAUUUUAGUAGCGAACGGGUGAGUAACGCGUAGACAACCAACCUCAUAGAAGGGGACAACGCCGAGAAAUUGGCGCUAAUACCGUAUGUUAUGCAAUGGACAGAAGUCCGAUGUAUUAAAGAUGGCUGAGCUUGAUGCUAUCGCUAUGAGACGGGUCUGCGUAUGAUUAGCUAGUUGGAGUGGUAAUGGCACACCAAGGCGAUGAUCAUUAGCCGGUCUGAGAGGAUGAACGGCCACACUGGAACUGAGACACGGUCCAGACUCCUACGGGAGGCAGCAGUGGGGAAUCUUCCACAAUGGGCGAAAGCCUGAUGGAGCGACGCCGCGUGAGAGAAGAAGGCCUUCGGGUUGUAAAUCUCUGUCUUCGGGGAAGAAUGUGCCUUAUGUGAAUAAUGUAGGGUAAUGACGGUACUCGAGGAGGAAGCCACGGCUAAC
rnacentral:rRNA from 1 species